UGUGUGGUGCAUACGACGGUGUCUGC
rnacentral:piRNA from 1 species